CACGGGGGGAGCAAGCGUUGUUCGGAAUCACUGGGCGUAAAGAGCGUGUAGGCGGCCCGACAGGUCCGUUGUGAAAACUCGAGGCUCAACCUCGAGACGUCGAUGGAAACCGUCGGGCUAGAGUCCGGAAGAGGAGAGUGGAAUUCCUGGUGUAGCGGUGAAAUGCGCAGAUAUCAGGAGGAACACCCGUGGCGAAAGCGGCUCUCUGGGACGGUACUGACGCUGAGACGCGAAAGCGUGGGGAGCGAACAGG
rnacentral:rRNA from 1 species